GUACGAAUUUCGGCUCGAAGGGCCCUAAUAGAAUGCUCUAUUUCAGAAUCAAAAGGUACUAAUUCAGGGGAUCUGGAACGACACCCUAGCAUACACUAAUACUUUUCUAAUCAGUUAAGUGCGGUCAAGCAUGCAUUAAAAGAAAAACAUUUCAAAUCCGUAUGUUUGCCCUAAAAUCACUAGACAGCUCCUAACUGGUUUGAAGAGGGCACCUGAGCCUCCAAUCCGGUCUAAUGAACUGAGUUGACCAGGUAAGCUC
rnacentral:lncRNA from 1 species